CAUAUAUUACGUGAUCUACCACGGCUCAACUGGCUGUAUAAACUACAUUGACUGAUUUGUGAGUUCUUAUCUAGUGGAAUAAUGAAGAAACUGUGGUUGCUGCUAUGUUUCAUGAUUCUUGUUGCUAUGUUCAUUGAUGAUAGUGAAAGUAUUUGGCGUCGACGCCGCCGACGACGACUACAAUUAAGCAAGCGUGACAAAAUACCGUGUGAUCGUGACUUAGAUUGCUUUGAGGAUGAUUUGAGAGAAAAAGAGAUUAAACGAGAAGUAGAAGAAUUAUUUGGAGAUAUGGAAGAGAGGGAGACAAAAUAUGACGAAUGACUGAACAUAAAAGAAAUGAAAAUAGCCAAUGAUGUCUACUUUACCACAUAGCAGUGUAUGUUAUUGGAAUCCUAUUAGAGAAACAUGUGUUAAUAAAUAAUCUACAUAAUUCAGACGAA